rnacentral:rRNA from 1 species
UACAGAGGGGGCAAGCGUUGUUCGGAAUUACUGGGCGUAAAGGGCGCGUAGGCGGCCUUCUAAGUCGAACGUGAAAUCCCCGGGCUCAACCCGGGAACUGCGUCCGAUACUGGAAGGCUUGAAUCCGGGAGAGGGAUGUGGAAUUCCAGGUGUAGCGGUGAAAUGCGUAGAUAUCUGGAGGAACACCGGUGGCGAAGGCGACAUCCUGGACCGACAUUGACGCUGAGGAGCGAAAGCUAGGGGAGCAAACGGG